CAACUUUCAGCAAUGGAUCUCUUGGCUCUCGCAUCGAUGAAGAACGCAGCGAAUCGCGAUAAGUAAUGUGAAUUGCAGAUUUUCCGUGAAUCAUCGAAUCUUUGAACGCAUCUUGCGCUCCUCGGUAUUCCGAAGAGCAUGCCUGUUUGAGCGUCGUCG
rnacentral:rRNA from 1 species